rnacentral:rRNA from 1 species
UACGUAGGUGGCAAGCGUUGUCCGGAUUUACUGGGCGUAAAGAGCGCGCAGGCGGUCGAUCAAGUCGAGUGUGAAAGCCCCCGGCUCAACUGGGGAGGGUCAUUCGAUACUGAUCGACUCGAAGGCAGGAGAGGGUAGUGGAAUUCCCGGUGUAGUGGUGAAAUGCGUAGAUAUCGGGAGGAACACCAGUGGCGAAGGCGACUCCCUGGCCUGUUCUUGACGCUGAGGCGCGAAAGCUAGGGGAGCAAACGGG